rfam:Aneurinibacillus migulanus strain DSM 2895 super7, whole genome shotgun sequence.
UUCUUAUCGAGAGCGGUGGAGGGACUAGGCCCGAUGAAGCCCGGCAACCGGCGGUACGUCCGCAAGGUGCUACAUCCUACAGAACAUAAAGUUCUGAAAGAUAAGAA